rnacentral:rRNA from 1 species
UACGUAGGGUGCGAGCGUUAAUCGGAAUUACUGGGCGUAAAGCGUGCGCAGGCGGUUCGCCAAGUCAGGUGUGAAAUCCCCGGGCUUAACCUGGGAAUUGCGCUUGAAACUAGCGGGCUUGAGUGUGGCAGAGGGGGGUGGAAUUCCACGUGUAGCAGUGAAAUGCGUAGAGAUGUGGAGGAACACCGGUGGCGAAGGCGGCAUCCUGGACCGACAUUGACGCUGAACGGCGAAAGCUAGGGGAGCAAACGGG